CCGGCUGCUGUGAACGCGCUCAGGACAGUUAGACAUGGCGGUGGAUCGGAGGUCUGCUCGUAAUUUACUGAGCUCCUGGUGCUGCUCAGAUGACCCAACGCUUGGAGAGCGGCCCACCUGCUUCUGCUGCGCCACGACAAGGGAAAGAAAAGGUCAUCUCUCUCCUGCUUCAUGCUCUUGAGCUGUUUCUCCAGAGUUCGGAUCUGUUUAGAGGAGUCCUCCAGAUCCCUGCGGGCAGAACUGGCCUGUUCUAACUGCUGCUCCACCUGUCCUGUAUCUGCAAGGGGAG